rnacentral:lncRNA from 1 species
AUCCACUAAUCCUAUAAUGCACAAUGUCAAUAUAUGAAUAUGAUCAAUAUACAAUUUAGACAAAAAGGAAGCCCGGUUGCUUCGGGAUGGACACCCCCCACCUUUAGUUGAUGCCACGAGUCCACGAAUCCGAUCUCGUGAUUUUUGGAAGCCUACGCCGCGUGCUGCGGCAAUCUGUACCGAAACAGGCCUUUUCGCCAAUAUCUUCGCGUAUCUUCGUCGGAUUGCCGAACCGACUUAGCCAACGCGUUAAAAUACCUAGCAAUUAGGUUUACAUAGGUUCAAUUUAGAUCAAACCCAUAUAUUUACAAAAACCCCAUUUGGUACCCUAAAAUAAAACCAAUGCAAGAAUCCACCAUUAACUCUCUAGAUUCAAGCAAUAAACAUCUACUUAGCACCCUAGGGUUCCAAAAAAUCCAUUUCUAAGCAAAAGAACUUAACCCUAGAGAUCUACCAUUGUUGAGCAUCAAGCUUACCUCAAAAGCUAGCUCCAACUCAAGGAAGAAGAUGAAGAGGAUCAAGGUCCACUCCUUAGCCUUCUUCUCCACCAAUCCCUCUCCUACUUCCACCUUGAAGAGAGAGAGAAAAAGAGCUUAGAGAGAGAGAGGGAGAGUUUAGGGUUUUGGAGUAUGAGGGAGUGAGAGAAGAGAGCUCUAACCCACUCUUAAAUAACCCCACUUACACACAAUUACUGAAAACCCCCUCCACUUGGCAAACUGUGCACAGCCCAAACUGGGCUAUUUUCGAGUACGGGGACCGGUCCUUGGCUUCAGGGACCGGACCCCGUAGGUCCUCUCAGCCCAGUAAUUAAGAACUUUGCCAAAUUUCAGCACUUUUCAGCUUUAGCCCGUUUCUUCUCCGUUUUCGCUCGUUUUUGCUCCGUCAGUCUCCGAUUCCUCUCAAAUCGCACCGAGACUCCUAAAACAUAUUUUCGAGCGCGUUUAAACCAUCUUUCCAUCCACGCUUAUGCCGGAUUUAGUCCACAGUCCAACAUAGCCUUUCGGGUUCCAUUUUCGCGCCCAACGCGCACCGAAAACGCCCAAAUGCUCCCGAACUUCGCCAGAAUCAUUCCAAUGACUUUCCAAACUAACAUACACCGUAACUUCAUAACGAUAAAAGUUCGGUAUGUCACACCCUCCCCUUCUUAAAAAGAUUUUUCGUCCUCGAAACUCAAAUCACUCCCUAAUUCGAGUUAUCGAGCAACAGAGGGUACCAAUGCACUUUCCCACUCCAAAGUGGCCUUACACUCAUCAGAACUGUCCAAAGGCCCACUACGGAGGAUGUGAGACCAUCCUCACACACAUUUGCCAUGCACAACACCAAAAGUGCAUUACGGUUCUGCAAGUCUCGGUAGCAGUGUAAGUCGACGCUCGACGACUCUACACGCUCCAACACCACUCGCUACCGAAUCUUGGGAACACACUUUGAUUCGAUCACCGGCAUUGCUUAGAAGCAAUAUCGUUGGUGACUCGAUCAAUCGCGAGUGCUCCAAUCAUAACUGGGUCUUUGCUCUACUACGAGAUGGCACACUCCGGCACAUCUCCGAUGUCAAUCCUCCAGAGAGCAUUAUCCUCAACCUCGCAUGGCUAUCUAUUAUUCAAGGGUCUCCUAAAGACCACAUUAUUUUCUUUCUCAAACCGCCACGGCUAAUAUCAAUUUGUUCUUGCAACGAAUUCACACGAAUGCUCUGUUCGUGAAUCCAAGCCAAACUCAUCAACAGAGUUAUCGGCCUAACCGCUCACCUCGGUUUCCACAGGUAGAUUACCGGCCACCAACUCUACGUAGGCCUACUGCCUAAACUGUCUCGAUACUCGCAACGUCUCUCGCUCGCAAGCGUAGACCCAAUCAUGAUUGGGUGAAAUUCUCACUUGAAAAUUCGCACACACUUCAACCAGAAGCAACCAAGACCCCAAAUCACUACAAAUCAUCGGGUUGGGCCACCACCACAUCUAUGGUGCAUCAUCGAUCAUACGAUCCAACACGUAGCAUUCCACGGUCCCAGGUCUAAGCUUGAACUAUCGCCCCGACCAAAAUCUCUGCCCUACCGGUAGGGACCGGGCCGCUGUCACUCACAGCUGACUGCCCCUGCCCAAAGGGUCCAGGCUCCACAGUCCACAAAUGGUCCAGGCACGGGUCGUCCUCAAGCAACACCCGCCGUCGUCGUCCUACACGACACACUCUGCCGAGCUAUAUACUACUAGCUCCUAGGCACCUAGUGCGAGCUACCAGCCCUACGAGUGAUCUGUGGCCUGCUUCACACUUAGCAUCGCUGAAGUACUGCUGCAAACUCACUCUCUAGGCUGAAUCCACAUCCGCACUCCACGAGUAUCUACACUCGAGCGUCA